UACGAAGGGGGCUAGCGUUGCUCGGAAUCACUGGGCGUAAAGCGCACGUAGGCGGGUUGCUAAGUCAGGGGUGAAAUCCUGGAGCUCAACUCCAGAACUGCCUUUGAUACUGGCGGCCUUGAGUCCGGGAGAGGUGAGUGGAACUGCGAGUGUAGAGGUGAAAUUCGUAGAUAUUCGCAAGAACACCAGUGGCGAAGGCGGCUCACUGGCCCGGUACUGACGCUGAGGUGCGAAAGCGUGGGGAGCAAACAGG
rnacentral:rRNA from 1 species